rfam:Salmo salar isolate Sally breed double haploid chromosome ssa21, whole genome shotgun sequence.
AGUGCUUCCAAUUGUAAGUCGCUCUGGAUAAGAGCGUCUGCUAAAUGACUUAAA